rnacentral:rRNA from 1 species
UCCCGUCAAUUUCUUUGAGUUUUAAUCUUGCGACCGUACUCCCCAGGCGGUCAACUUCACGCGUUAGCUACGUUACCAAGUCAAUGAAGACCCGACAACUAGUUGACAUCGUUUAGGGCGUGGGCUACCAGGGUAUCUAAUCCUGUUUGCUCCCCACGCUUUCGUGCUUGAGCGUCAGUAUUGGCCCAGGGGGCUGCCUUCGCCAUCGGUAUUCCUCCACAUCUCUACGCAUUUCACUGCUACACGUGGAAUUCUACCCCCCUCUGCCAUACUCUAGCCCGCCAGUCACAAAUGCAGUUCCCAGGUUAAGCCCGGGGAUUUCACAUCUGUCUUAGCGAACCGCCUGCGCACGCUUUACGCCCAGUAAUUCCGAUUAACGCUUGCACCCUACGUAUUACCGCGGCUGCUGGCACAA